CGCGGAGUAGAGCAGUGGUAGCUCAUCAGGCCCAUAACCUGGAGGUCGCAGCGUUCAAAUCCUGCCUCCGCAACCA
rnacentral:tRNA from 1 species